UACGGGGGGGGCAAGCGUUGUUCGGAAUUACUGGGCGUAAAGGGCUCGUAGGUGGUCAACUAAGUCGGACGUGAAAUCCCUCGGCUUAACCGGGGAACUGCGUCCGAUACUGGAUGACUUGAGUUCGGGAGAGGGAAGCGGAAUUCCGGGUGUAGGCGGUGAAAUGCGUAGAUAUCUGGAGGAACACCGGUGGCGAAGGCGGCAUCCUGGACCAACACUGACGCUGAUGAGCGAAAGCCAGGGGAGCAAAGCGGG
rnacentral:rRNA from 1 species